AGUGUUCAAUAGAACUGUGGUAGGUGAGUAAUGUCCCCUACUAGAAAGGAGAGGGCAAGGCUGGUGCCAGCCGCCGCGGUAAAACCAGCUCUUCAAGUGGUCGGGAUAAUUAUUGGGCUUAAAGUGUCCGUAGCCGGUUUAGUAAGUUCCUGGUAAAAUCGGGUAGCUUAACUAUCUGCAUGCUAGGAAUACUGCUAUACUAGAGGGCGGGAGAGGUCUGAGGUACUACAGGGGUAGGGGUGAAAUCUUAUAAUCCUUGUAGGACCACCAGUGGCGAAGGCGUCAGACUGGAACGCGCCUGACGGUGAGGGACGAAAGCCAGGGGAGCGAACCGGAUUAGAUACCCGGGUAUCCUGGCCGUAAACGAUGCAUACUAGGUGAUGGUACGGCCAUGAGCCGUAUCAGUGCCGUAGGGAAACCGUUAAGUGU
rnacentral:rRNA from 1 species